rnacentral:rRNA from 1 species
GACGAACGCUGGCGGCGUGCCUAACACAUGCAAGUCGAACGGAGUCGGCCCCGCAAGGGACUGACUUAGUGGCGAACGGGUGAGUAACGCGUGAGCAACCUGCCUUUCAGUGGGGGACAACAGUUGGAAACGACUGCUAAUACCGCAUGAAGCAUAAUGAUCGCAUGGUCGAUAUGCCAAAGAUUUAUUGCUGAAAGAUGGGCUCGCGUCUGAUUAGAUAGUUGGUGAGGUAACGGCCCACCAAGGCGACGAUCGGUAGCCGGACUGAGAGGUUGAACGGCCACAUUGGGACUGAGACACGGCCCAGACUCCUACGGGAGGCAGCAGUGGGGAAUAUUGCACAAUGGGGGAAACCCUGAUGCAGCGACGCCGCGUGGAGGAAGAAGGUCUUCGGAUUGUAAACUCCUGUUGUUGAGGAAGAUAAUGACGGUACUCGACAAGGAAGUGACGGCUAACUACGUG